rfam:Solanum tuberosum cultivar DM 1-3 516 R44 scf00037_13, whole genome shotgun sequence.
GUGACAGAAGAGAGUGAGCACACAUGGUUCUUUCAUGGAUUAUUCCCCAUGUUUAAAAGCUCUGCGUGCUCACGCUCUAUCUGUCAC